rnacentral:rRNA from 1 species
GGGUGACCUCAGAUCAGGUAGGGAUACCCGCU